GGUGUGAACCUGUGACCUCAGCUACUCCGGAGACUGAGGCAGGAGGAUUCGCUGAGGGGGGAGUAUGAGUCUGCAAUGAGCUAUGAUAACACCACUGUACUCCAGUCUGAGCAACAAAAACAAAAUAUUCAGCUGGAUGUUUGUCACAAUUCUAAUAUCCCUGCAAAGAUGAGAUGCAUGAAUCACACAGCAAUCUCAUCAAAAAGAUGGGAUCCCCAACUGUGUGGAUCCUGGUAAGAAGAGCCCCCACCCCUCCCUGGAAUCCAGGACACUGGCAUCUAACUCACUCCAGGCCAACUGGAGGGCCCUACCUGUGUCUUCAAAGCUUGAUUAAAUGAUACAUUGCAAGGCCAAUUUAGGAUUUCUUGAAAGAGGUAAUGCGGGGUGGCAUGGCAGUGUUGUCUAGUUGUAGCAGUAUUCACUAGAGGCUCUGGCAGUGGCGAGAUCCAUGGUGUUCAUGGGGUGUGACCAGACUCUUCCCAGAUUGUGACCUUGGUUUUUGCCCGUCUUCCCUGAGAUCAAACCUGCUUCUCUAGCCCUCUCAUUCAUUCUAUAAACACCUUGAUAUUCCUCUACUAGAGGCCUUUUCUGUUUCA